rnacentral:rRNA from 1 species
UACGUAGGGUGCGAGCGUUAAUCGGAAUUACUGGGCGUAAAGCGUGCGUAGGCGGUUCGUUAAGUUCGUUGUGAAAGCCCCGGGCUCAACCUGGGAAUGGCAAUGGAAACUGGCGGGCUGGAGUAUGGCAGAGGGGGGUGGAAUUCCGCGUGUAGCAGUGAAAUGCGUAGAGAUGUGGAGGAACACCUAUGGCGAAGGCAGCACUCUGGGACGGUACUGACGCUGAGGCGCGAAAGCCAGGGGAGCGAACGGG